UUUGGUGCCAAUAGCAUGAGAGAUACACCUGGUUACAUGCCGAACCCAGAAGUUAAGUCUCAUAACGCCGGAAGUAGUUGGGGGUUGCCCCCUGUGAGAUAUGGUAGGUGCCAAGC
rfam:Streptococcus sp. DF1 DF1_Contig13, whole genome shotgun sequence.